GUAGGUGGCAAGCGUUGUCCGGAUUUACUGGGCGUAAAGGGCGCGCAGGUGGCUCGUCAAGUCUAGGGUGAAAUCUCCCGGCUCAACCGGGAGGAGUCUCUGGAUACUGGCAGGCUAGAGGGAAGCAGAGGAGAGCGGAAUUCCCGGUGUAGCGGUGAUAUGCGUAGAUAUCGGGAGGAACACCAGUGGCGAAGGCGGCUCUCUGGGCUUUUUCCUGACGCUGAGGCGCGAAGCGUGGGGGAGCAAACCGGGAUUAGAUACCCGGGUAGUCCACGCCGUAAACGUUGGUACUAGGUGUGGGGGUAUGACCCCCCUCCGUGCCGUAGUUAACGCAAUAAGUACCCCGCCUGGGAGUACGACCGCAAGGUUA
rnacentral:rRNA from 1 species